UCGGAUCGCAGGCUGCAACCCGCCUGCGUGAAGUUGGAAUCGCUAGUAAUCGCGGAUCAGCAUGCCGCGGUGAAUACGUUCCCGGGCCUUGUACACACCGCCCGUCACACCAUGAGAGUCGGGAACACCCGAAGUCCGUAGCCUAACCGCAAGGGGGCGCGGCCGAAGGUGGGUUCGAUAAUUGGGGUGAAGUCGUAACAAGGUAAC
rnacentral:rRNA from 1 species